CUUUCAGUCAGUUUAAUUGAAGUCUGGAGCUGGCAUGUCAGUUAACUGCUAGUAGUCUGUUGUUAUUUAUGUAUUAUUGUCAUUUUGUUUAUUUUCUUUGGUUACAUCUUCUGACAUCAGACUCGGACUUCUCUUGGACUGAAUUUUAAUGUGCGUAUUGUUAUGCGUUUACUUUUCUACAUUGGUUAGAGGUAUAGGGGGAGGGUUGAGAUCUCACAAACAUGUUUAACCCCGCCGCAUUUUUGCGCCUGUCCCCAGUCAGGAGCCUCUGGCCUUUGUUAGUCUUGUAUUAUUUUGAUUUUAGUUUCUUGUGUACAAUUUGGAAAUUAGUAUGGCGUUCAUUAUCACUGGACUAGUAUAUAUUUGUUUAGGGGCCAGCUGAAGGACGCCUCCGGGUGCGGGAAUUUCUCGCUACAUUGAAGACCUGUUGGUGACCCUCUGCUGUUGUUUUUUGUUUUUUAUUUGGUCGGGUUGUUGUCUCUUUGACACAUUCCCCAUUUCCAUUCUCAAUUUUAGCUAUACAUGCAGUUCUAACAGUGACUUUAUGAAGAAAGAUAUGCGAAUGCUAGUUCCCUAUAUUUAUAUAUAACGGGCAAGAUGGAGUUAUCGAUCCCUGAUACAUAUUCCUGAAUAAAUGACAUGUAGUUC
rnacentral:lncRNA from 1 species